GACGAACGCUGGCGGCGUGCUUAACACAUGCAAGUCGAACGAAGUGGCGAACGGGUGAGUAACGCGUAAUCAACCUGCCCUUCAGAGGGGGACAACAGUUGGAAACGACUGCUAAUACCGCAUACUGAAGGAGGGGAUUGCGUCGGAUUAGCUAGUUGGAGGGGUAACGGCCCACCAAGGCGAAGAUCAGUAGCCGGUCUGGGGGGAUGAACCGCGACAAUGGGACUGGGACACGGCCCAAGCUCCUACGGGAGGCAGCAGGGGGGGAACUUCGGAAAUGGAGGGAAGUCUGACGGAGCAACGCCGCGUGAGUGGUGACGGCCUUCGGGUUGUAAAGCUCUGUUAAUCGGGACGCGGUACCGGAAUAGAAAGCCACGACUAACUACGUGCCAGCAGCCGCGGUAAUAC
rnacentral:rRNA from 1 species